rnacentral:rRNA from 1 species
GACGAACGCUGGCGGCGUGCUUAACACAUGCAAGUCGAACGGAAAGGCCCUGCUUUUGUGGGGUGCUCGAGUGGCGAACGGGUGAGUAACACGUGAGUAACCUGCCCUUGACUUUGGGAUAACUUCAGGAAACUGGGGCUAAUACCGGAUAGGAGCUCCUGCUGCAUGGUGGGGGUUGGAAAGUUUCGGCGGUUGGGGAUGGACUCGCGGCUUAUCAGCUUGUUGGUGGGGUAGUGGCUUACCAAGGCUUUGACGGGUAGCCGGCCUGUGAGGGUGACCGGCCACAUUGGGCCUGAGAUACGACCCAGACUCCUACGGGAGGCAGAAGUGGGGAAUAUUGCACAAUGGGCGGAAGCCUGAUGCAGCAACGCCGCGUGCGGGAUGACGGCCUUCGGGUUGUAAACCGCUUUCGCCUGUGACGAAGCGUGAGUGACGGUAAUGGGUAAAGAAGCACCGGCUAACUACGUG